rnacentral:lncRNA from 10 species
ACACAGGUGGCCAUACCUCCAGAGAAGUACUUCAGCGGUAGAAGACUCAAGCGGCUGGUCCUCCAGAGGACCUCGAGAGGAGCAUGUUGGCAGAAAAACACACCGACAGACAUCUGCACGCCUGCAGGCCAUUGAUUGAGGGGACUAGGCGGAGUUUGGCCGGGGCUGUUGGAGGAGAGCCGGGGCCACCUAGCGGCCCAAUUCCAGGGGAAAAUCGUCUGCCUCUGGCUCCUCCAUCAGCUGAGAGCUACUUCCACUCAAUAAAACUUUGUACUCUUUCUCCAGUCCCGCAUGUGAUCCGAUUCUUCCGGUACACCAAGGCAAGAACCCGGGAUACAGAAAGCCCUCUGUCCUUGCGACAAGGUAGAGGUUCUAAUUGAGCGGACUUACACAAGACACCUAUAGACGGCAAAUUAAAAGAGCACCCUGUAACACACGCCCACUGGGGCUUCAGGAGCUGUAAACGUUCACCCCUAGACACUGCCGUGGAGUCAAGAGCCCCACAGCCUGCCCAUCUGUAUGCUCCCCUAGAAGUUUGAGCAGCGGGGCACUGAAGAAGCAAGCCACACCCACAUCGCACGCCCUGCGAGGGGGAUGACGGAACCUUUCCCGUUUCAAUAUGACCAUAGAAACACAAGAAAUAAGAAGACCAUUUUGAGAAGAACAGAGAGUAGCCUUAAGAAAAUCCCUGUCGCAAGCACUCUGGGAUUUGGACUCAAAUGCUAAUUAUACAACGUUGGUGGACCAGCCUUAAAACCAACAAUGAUUUGUAACAUUGAUUCUUUGGGAAAGGGCAUUCGGGAUCCCACAUCACCAUCUAACAAAUGAAUUUUUGUAAGAAAACCCAUUGGUAAGUUGGAGGCUAUAUUUACUGGGAAUGCUAGAAGGGAUAGAAUUGUGUACUAUCUGUUUAAAUGAUGAGUAGAAUGGGAGUUAUUCAUAUAAAGCAGCACUUUGGAAUCACUUUCCUUGACUCUGUUUCAGCUGUCCGCCUAAUAAGAAAAUUCUGGAAAUCUCUUUUUUUUUUGACACUUACUUUUUUUUUCCUUCACCAACACUCAGUAAGACUUCAUUCUAGACCUGAGAAUAUGAUUUGCUUCU